UACGUAGGGUGCAAGCGUUAAUCGGAAUUACUGGGCGUAAAGCGUGCGCGGGCGGCUUUGCAAGACAGAUGUGAAAUCCCCGAGCUUAACUUGGGAACUGCAUUUGGGACUGCAAGGCUAGAGUACGGCAGAGGGGGGUAGAAUUCCUGGUGUAGCAGUGAAAUGCGUAGAUAUCCGGAGGAACACCGGUGGCGAAGGCGGCUUCCUGGACCGAUACUGACGCUGAGGCGCGAAAGCUAGGGGAGCAAACGGG
rnacentral:rRNA from 1 species